rnacentral:rRNA from 1 species
GACGAACCGUGCGAACGUUGUUCGGAUUCACUGGGCUUAAAGGGCGCGUAGGCGGGUGUCCAAGUCUGGGGUGAAAUCCUUCGGCCCAACCGGAGAACAGCCUCGGAUACUGGAUGUCUCGAGGGGGGUAGGGGCACGCGGAACUUCCGGUGGAGCGGUGAAAUGCGUAGAGAUCGGAAAGAACACCAACGGCGAAAGCACUCUGCUGGGCCGACACUGACACUGAGAGACGAAAGCUAGGGGAGCGAAUGGG